ACUCCUGCGGGAGGCAGCAGUGGGGAAUUUUGGACAAUGGGGGCAACCCUGAUCCAGCAAUGCCGCGUGAGUGAAGAAGGCCUUCGGGUUGUAAAGCUCUUUUGUCAGGGAAGAAACGGUGGUGGCGAAUAACUACUACUAAUGACGGUACCUGAAGAAUAAGCACCGGCUAACUACGUGCCAGCAGCCGCGGUAAUACGUAGGGUGCAAGCGUUAAUCGGAAUUACUGGGCGUAAAGCGUGCGCAGGCGGUUGUGUAAGUCAGAUGUGAAAUCCCCGGGCUCAACCUGGGAAUUGCAUUUGAGACUGCACGGCUAGAGUGUGUCAGAGGGGGGUAGAAUUCCACGUGUAGCAGUGAAAUGCGUAGAUAUGUGGAGGAAUACCGAUGGCGAAGGCAGCCCCCUGGGAUAACACUGACGCUCAUGCACGAAAGCGUGGGGAGCAAACAGGAUUAGAAACCCGUGUAGUCCCAUGAU
rnacentral:rRNA from 1 species